rnacentral:lncRNA from 1 species
GACAGUGGGGACCGUCUGCCCAAGCUGCGGGCCCUACCUGGAGAAAAGCCCCAUCUGUCACAUCUUUCCUUCAGCCAGCCCUCACUGGCCCUCGUGGACCCCAAGCCUGGACCACGAGCACAAAGGAGGCUGUGCCUCCCAGCCUGAGGGGGCCUCCUGGAGGAGGUGGCACUUAGGUGGAGCAGGCCAAGUUAGGAGCCAGGGGACCAGGGCCCAGCGGGAUCCUAAGGGGCAGGGUUGGCCCUGCUGGCUCCACUACACCACACCCUCGAGGACUUCCCAGAGGGUCUGAGGGUAUGGGGGAUCAAGGAAGGAACUGGAGGGUCCUGAAAUCCAGGGAGGGGCCAGAAUCCGUUGGAAUGCAAUGAGGCACAGCUGGGAGAUCUGGGCACGGUGACCCUAAAUUCUGGAAGGUCCCUAAGUGCAUCAACUGUUUUUGGGGGGUAGGGGAGUGGCCAGCCUGGUACCACUGCUUUAGAGCAUGUGUCAUCACCUCUCACAGUGAAGUCAUCUUUAAAGGACUCAAUUGUCUUGUGCCCAGGCUGGGCCUGGAGAGGGUGGAGGUCACAUGGCCACUGACCCGAGUCCUUCUGGCUUCCCUGUGACCUUCACGGGAGUCUCUUUGGGGGCUUAAAGAGGCAGGCACUGGCCGGAGAUGACCCUUCCCCAAUCACCCAUGUCCCUGGGAGCCUCAGUUCCUGGAACCAGCCACUUCAGACUGGGUCUUCUGGGCAGCUGGGUGGGACCACAGGACCGCUGUUCCUUGCAGGGCUGGAGUUUGAGCGCUGGCUCAAUGCCACGGGCCCACCGCUGGCCGAGCCGGACCUAUCUCAGGGGUCCAGCCUGACCCGGCCUGUGGAGGCCCUGUUCCAGCUGUGGACGGCGGAGCCCCUCGAUCAGGCGGCAGCGUCAGCCAGUGCCGUGGACAUCUCCAAGUGGAGGACCUUCCAGACGGCACUCUUCCUGGACCGGCUCCUGGAUGGGUCCCCGCUGCCUCAGGGUGGGUCCCUCAGCCAGCAGGUGGCCCUGGGGGGAGUGGCACUGGCCUGGCCUGACUUGCCGCUGCCCCACAGAGGUGGUGAUGAGCCUGUCCAAGUGCUACUCCUCCCUCCUGGACUCCAUGAACGCUGAGAUCCGCAUUCGCUGGCUGCAGAUCGUGGUGCGCAACGACUACUACCCAGACCUCCACCGGGUGCGGCGCUUCCUGGAGAGCCAGGUGCAGACACCUGUCUGGGGUCGGGGCUGGGGGUGGCCUCACUCAGGGGCCCAACCACCCUCUCUCUCUCCAGCCUGACUGCUCAGGCAGGCAGGCACACCAGAGAGUUGGGUGGCAAGGUCUGGGGGUCUGGGCUGGGAACCGGCCUGAGUCGGGGGAGACAGGUAUAAGUCAAAGCUCAGAGGCAGCCUGGACUGCACCAGUCCUGGGAGAGACCAUGGAGGCCCAAGAUGGGAGUUGGUGUCCAAGGGUCUCCGCUCACAGCCUGGACCUGGACCUAGCUGGGCCUCCAGCCUGUGGUGUUCAGCUCCCAGGUGGGCACAGGGGCAUCCAAGUUCCUCCAACAGUGGCAGGUUCCAGCCUGUGGGACCUGACUUCCCUGGGGCACCCCUCCAGCCCAAUCAGCAUGGAAGAGGAGGUCAGGGUGACCGACUGGUGGGGGUCUUGGGCUGUGUGAGUCCAGACCAAGGCCUGGUGAAGCCGCUGGAGCAGGUCCAGGGAUUGGAAGGCCUCCCGCCAGGCGGGGUUGGUGGGAGAGGCCCGGGGAGCCCACUAGGUGACCUGGUGUCCCCACAGAUGUCGCGCAUGUACACCAUCCCACUGUAUGAGGACCUCUGCACGGGUGCCCUCAAGUCCUUUGCGCUGGAGGUCUUCUAUCAGACGCAGGGCCGGCUGCACCCCAAUCUGCGCAGAACCAUCCAGCAGAUCCUGUCCCAGGGCCUGGGCCCCAGUGCCGAGGCCAGCACUGAGCCCGACGCUGAGCUGGCCAGAGCUGGGGCAGAGGCAGGGUCAGACUCGGCAGCCCUGCUGCUUGGCGACGAGGCCCCCAGUAGCGCCAUCUCUCUCAGGGACGUCAACGUGUCUGCCUAGCCCUGACAUUGGGCCAACCUUCAACCUCCCAGACACCAAGAUUGUGCCUUCUGUGGCCCGGGCCGCCAUGACUGCGCCUUGGCUCUGGCCACGAGCUCGGCCCGGGCCCGUGAGCCUCUCCCGUGGGCUCUCCCGUGGGCUCUCCCGGGGGCUCUCCCAGGCUGGGGGCUUGGGGAGAGGGAUUCUGUCUAGUGGCAGCCCUGGGGGCCUGAGCUCACCCUGUCCCAGCUGUCCUGCACUGUGGGCCUCAGGACUGGCCUUAUGCACCACGCCUCCCAUCUCAACACUGACAGCCAUGCGUGGCCCCGGACACCCGCACCUGCUGGACACCAUCGUGGGACCGCAGCUCCAGCAGCUCAUGGCGACCACCACACUGUGCCUUACGUCUGCAGACAGGCUGCACUGCCCCCGAGGCACAGCUUCCCCAGAACCCUGCACUGUUAUCCCCUGGCAGAGGGACAAGGACGCGAUGUACCCUCACUGUGGGGGCUGGGGACAGGAGAGAAGGGGCAUCACAUGGGGAGCCUUGGCCCCUCGGCACAUGGAGUCCAGGCCCCAGAGGCCUGUUCUCCCAGCUGCCUGGGGUAGCGGCACAGCCACCCGGCUCACCCCAGGAAAGGGGUGGUGCUGAUGCUCUUGGGGCACACCUGC